CAGGGAGCUGCGGGGAAGUGAAAGCGGUUCAGCAGAGGCUGGGGAGGAAGGAGGCCACAUCCCUGCAGAGGACUCCUCCUCCAGGCCUGACCCCUCUCUGAACUCCAGGCCUACGCUUCUCUUUCCAGCGGCGCCCCCUGGAGCUGAGCCCUGCCUGCCGGGGUGUCCGGCACCCCGGCCUCCCUCUAGGCAUGAAGCCCGUCCACGCCCAGGACCCCCUCACCUCUCACCUGGACCACUUCGCAGCCUCUGAACCCCUCUCCCUGUGUCCACUCUGCCCUCCAUCCACCCGACAGACUCAACUCCCGCUCACAGCUCCGAUGCUGUCGCACCACUGCUCAACAGCUGCGGACUUUUUUUGUAACUUCCAACAAAAACGUAUCCAGUCCUCCUAUCGCAGAAGCCCCCGGGGACGGGGACACUAGGACCAAAAGAUGUGGUGGUCGCCCAUGAGGGCGGACAAAGACCCCAACUGCUUGUAAGAACGUAAUAUUCACUUGGUACCCACACUUCUCCCUCUUGGCCCCAACCUGUUUCUCUGCAGCACCGUGUACCCACGGGCAUGUGGCUCCCCCCAAACUCGAGGACUCGUCACGCCCUACACGCGAGGUACCGUUUCCUGCCUCAGGGCCCUGGUUCCUGCUCCGAAUGUCUGUCCACCCCCCCAAGGCCCAUCACCAAGGUCCCAGAAGUUGUUGCUGAUCUGUCCUCAACCAGCCCUGGCCUUCCAGCAGAGUGUCUGUGCUCUGUCCUACCCCUUCUAGGCUGUGCCCUCCUUCAAGACGGAUGCUGUGCUCCUCCACAAACACCCCCACACAGCCCCCCCGGGGAAGGGGUGUAUCCCUAGUCACUGACUUGAAUUAGACUGAGCUAACUCCACCCCAGCUGGCCUGCCCAGGAUCACACCAAGCCACACACUUCCUUCCCCCGCUCGGAGGUCUGUACCUUAUCCAGCUGCAGGGCCUGCCCAUCCUUGGUCCAGCUGACGAAGAGCAGUGGGGGGUUGGCGCGGACCGGGCACCGGAUCACCCCCCGCAUGCCUACGGGCAGGGGGGUCUCAGGAGGCAUCGCUGUCACCUGCGCUGGGUCUGGUGGGGGAAGCAGUGGCAGGUUGUGGGGCAGGAACUUGGCCUGGCCCAGGGGGAGGGAGCAGGCUUGGGGAGGGAGCCGGGUGAGGCUUACAGAGCACAGUGAGGUAGGCAGAGGCCGAGGGCGGGCGCCGGAGGCCAUUGCUGGGCACGCAGGUGUAGCGGCCCGCAUCGUCCGGCUGGGCGGCCAGCAGCCGCAGGCUCCCGUCUACCAGGAUCCGCACUCGGGGCUGCAGGCGGCUGCAAUGUGGCACGUGUGGGCAGGGGUACAGGCUCGCUGAGCCGGGGGACUCCUCCAAGGCUGCCCACGGGUCCCCCGCCCACCCCCAAGCCCCACCUAACGUGGAACACGUUGACGCUGUCCUGGAACCAGCUAUAAGUGAGGUUGGUGGGGUACGCCUCAGCCCGGCAGGCCAAGGAAACAUCCUGGGAGGCAUUGACCGUGCUGUUCUUGGGGGGCACCACGAUGACCGGGGGGCCUGUGGGGGAGCACAUGGGAAGAGAGAGGCCUCAGCCCUGAGGUCCCCUCUACAGUUCUUCCUGCCAUCUGCCCUCUGGAAUAGGGGAACUGAAACAGCCCUAACCCCUGUACCUAACGCAAGUUCCUUCUCUUCCCCAGACCAGAUCCCCUUCCCACCAGGGACAACCCAAUUCACCCGGACUCCCCCGCCUAGAACCUGCGUGUGCGUGUGCCCAACACCUCACCAGCGGAUACAGCACGAUCCCCGACCGAGGCUCCCCCGUCUGGCCACUCCAGCGGCCAUUCGCACAGAGACACCCCCUUUGGCCAGAACACAACGCUUCUGUUCAAGAACUCACAACUCCUGGGGCGCCUGGGUGGCUCAGUCGGUUGAGCGACCGACUUUGGCUUAGGUCAUGAUCUCACGGUUUGGGAGUUCGAGCCCCAUAUUGGGCUGUGUGCUGGCAGCUCGGAGCCUGGAGCCCGCUUGGGAUUCUGUGUCUCCCUCUCUCUCUGCUCCUCCCCCACCCAUGCUCUCUCUCUGUCUCCGAAAUAAAUAAACAUUAAAAAAAUCUUUUUUUCAAGAACUCACAACUCCUGGCUCCCACCACAUCAAGCUCGAACUUCUCGAUCCAGCCUCGUGGGCACUCAGGAUCCAACCCCUCC